rnacentral:rRNA from 1 species
UACGGGGGAGCAAGCGUUGUUCGGAUUUACUGGGCGUAAAGGGCGCGUAGGCGGCCACCGCAAGUCAGUUGUGAAAUCUCUGGGCUUAACCCAGAAAGGUCAACUGAUACUGCGGGGCUAGAGUGCAGAAGGGGCAACUGGAAUUCUCGGUGUAGCGGUGAAAUGCGUAGAUAUCGAGAGGAACACCUGCGGCGAAGGCGGGUUGCUGGGCUGACACGUGACGCUGAGGCGCGAAAGCUAGGGGAGCGAACGGG